AACGCGAAGAACCUUACCUACCCUUGACAUGUCAAGAAUUUUGCAGAGAUGUGAGAGUGCCUUCGGGAGCUUGAACACAGGUGCUGCAUGGCUGUCGUCAGCUCGUGUCGUGAGAUGUUGGGUUAAGUCCCGUAACGAGCGCAACCCUUGUCCUUAGUUACCAGCAUGUGAAGAUGGGGACUCUAAGGAGACUGCCGGUGAUAAACCGGAGGAAGGUGGGGAUGACGUCAAGUCAUCAUGGCCUUUAUGGGUAGGGCUACACACGUGCUACAAUGGGCAGUACAGAGGGAAGCGAAGCUGUGAAGUGAAGCGGAUCUCAGAAAGCUGUUCGUAGUCCGGAUUGGAGUCUGCAACUCGACUCCAUGAAGCUGGAAUCGCUAGUAAUCGCGGAUCAGAAUGCCGCGGUGAAUACGUUCCCGGGCCUUGUACACACCGCAUAC
rnacentral:rRNA from 1 species